rnacentral:rRNA from 1 species
CUGCCAGUGAUAAACUGGAGGAAGGUGGGGAUGACGUCAAGUCAUCAUGGCCCUUACGACCAGGGCUACACACGUGCUACAAUGGCAUAUACAAAGAGAAGCGACCUCGCGAGAGCAAGCGGACCUCAUAAAGUAUGUCGUAGUCCGGAUUGGAGUCUGCAACUCGACUCCAUGAAGUCGGAAUCGCUAGUAAUCGUAGAUCAGAAUGCUACGGUGAAUACGUUCCCGGGCCUUGUACACACCGCCCGUCACACCAUGGGAGUGGGUUGCAAAAGAAGUAGGUAGCUUAACCUUCGGGAGGGCGCUUACCACUUUGUGAUUCAUGACUGGGGUGAAGUCGUAACAAGGUAACCGUAGGGGAACCUGCGGUUGGAUCACC